rnacentral:rRNA from 1 species
AUUGAACGCUGGCGGCAUGCCUUACACAUGCAAGUCGAACGGCAGCACGGGUGCUUGCACCUGGUGGCGAGUGGCGAACGGGUGAGUAAUACAUCGGAACAUGUCCUGUAGUGGGGGAUAGCCCGGCGAAAGCCGGAUUAAUACCGCAUACGAUCUACGGAUGAAAGCGGGGGACCUUCGGGCCUCGCGCUAUAGGGUUGGCCGAUGGCUGAUUAGCUAGUUGGUGGGGUAAAGGCCUACCAAGGCGACGAUCAGUAGCUGGUCUGAGAGGACGACCAGCCACACGGGGACUGAGACACGGCCCAGACUCCUACGGGAGGCAGCAGUGGGGAAUUUUGGACAAUGGGCGAAAGCCUGAUCCAGCAAUGCCGCGUGUGUGAAGAAGGCCUUCGGGUUGUAAAGCACUUUUGUCCGGAAAGAAAUCCUUGGCCCUAAUACGGUCGGGGGAUGACGGUACCGGAAGAAUAAGCACCGGCUAACUACGUG